rnacentral:rRNA from 1 species
GACGAACGCUGGCGGCGUGCUUAACACAUGCAAGUCGAACGGAAAGGCCCCUUCGGGGGUACUCGAGUGGCGAACGGGUGAGUAACACGUGGGCAACCUGCCCCUAGCUCUGGGAUAACUCCGGGAAACCGGUGCUAAUACCGGAUAUCAACCUCCUCCGGCAUCUGUAGAGGUUAAAAGUUUUUCGGCUAGGGAUGGGCCCGCGGCCUAGCAGCUUGUUGGUGGGGUAAUGGCCUACCAAGGCGACGACGGGUAGCCGGCCUGAGAGGGCGACCGGCCACACUGGGACUGAGACACGGCCCAGACUCCUACGGGAGGCAGCAGUGGGGAAUAUUGCGCAAUGGGCGAAAGCCUGACGCAGCGACGCCGCGUGAGGGAUGACGGCCUUCGGGUUGUAAACCUCUUUCAGCUCUGACGAAGCGAAAGUGACGGUAGGAGCAGAAGAAGCACCGGCCAACUACGUGCCAGCAGCCGCAGUAACAC